rnacentral:misc_RNA from 1 species
AUUUAUAAAUCAUUAUCUUCUCCAAUGGCAAUUGGGCUGUUGGAGCCUCUGAUUUCACCUGCUGUUCUCUCACACUAUUCUCACCCUUCACUUCUUGGAGUCACAGUGCCUAUAACAGUUUCUAAUAAACCACAAAUCAAAGCUCCAUCAACAAAAAUGGCCACUUCUGCAACUGAACCUAACACUAAAUCCAAUUCUGUCAAAACCAUUGAUUCACAUCUUCACGUCUGGGCAUCUCCUCAAGAGGUAACUCUAACCCAAUACAGUUACAGAAGCUGCUUUUUUCUUUUUCACCAAACUAGUUUUCACCAAACUAGUUUUUUCUUUCAUUUCAAAGCUAAGAUUUUUGCGUUCCUUUUCCAUCAAUAGAAACAAGUUUGUGUUUUUUUUCCAAAGUGGCUCUGUAAUUUUGCUUUUCGUAUGGGUAGUAAAGGCUGCGGAUAAAUACCCUUACUUCCCUGGCCAAGAACCCACUUUGAGUGGAGAUGUACAUUUCUUGCUUCAGGUACAUUGUUUCUUAAUACUUAUAUUUGUGUGCUUGUUUUAUGUUUGCUGUUUAUUUUGGUGGAAUAUUUGAAGCAAGAAGUUACCAUUCAUUCUCAUGGUAUAUUGGUUUCAUGUUCAAGAGCUUAUUUCAGAUAUGCAUAUAUCAGAGCAAAAUUAUGAAGUUAAAUCGAUUAUUUAGUUUGGUAGCUUGUGAAACUGUACUGAUAAAUAUUGUCAUACUAUAAUUUCAUGAGGUUUUGUGGAAAAUUAUGACUUAUAUUUAAUUCGGUUCAACUGUGGUAUUGUAUGAUGGAUUCUUGUCAAGUGAUUUCAUACAUAUAUAUUUUAUUGUGUAAAUAGUUCUGAUAUUUUGAGAAAAGUUAGUUCUUGGUGGAUAUGUGAGUGACCCCUCAAAUAUUUGACAAAAAUAUUUCCUGAUCUCCAUGAUAAUCCUAAUCUAAUUUGGAUUUUUCAUUUAUACUCUUACAGAACAUGGAAGAAGCAGGCGUAGAUGGUGCGCUAAUUGUGCAGCCCAUUAAUCAUAUGUUUGAUCAUUCUUUAGUGACAAGGUUUGUUAAGGUUGCAUGGUGUUUGCACAUUAAUAGCAAAAAUAUUUAACCCAGUUUAGAAAUUGCUAUUUUUGUAUGAAACUGCAUUAUACAAAAGUACAAUGGAUAGAAUAUUGAAGGUGCUUGAUCAAGCUGCAGCAUAUUCUUAAUGCAGCUAAUAAUGGGACUAGCAAGUGGAGUGAUGAAUUAGUGGUUAACCUCUUGUUAGGUUCAGCCUGUAGAUCUUUUGAUUCCUUCUACACUUGCAAUACAAGAGACUGAAAAACAAAGAUCAAUGAUCUGGCAGCAAAGCAUGUCUUUCUUCUCCAAUAUUUUUGAUAGGAACUGAACCAUCUGGUAUAUAUCAUCCCCAAGAUUGACUUAUUGAUUCACAUAGCCCUCAUAGGAAAGUAGAUGUUUUUCCUUCCAUCUGAUUGCAUGGACUCUUUUUCUUAAUUCGCUUUCAAUGAUUUUCAGCUCAGCACUAUAAAGUAUUGCAUGAUUUCAAAAUAUUUCAUUGGACAGUAUCCUGAAGAAGUAUCCAACCAAGUUUGUUGGUUGCUGCCUUGCAAAUCCUGCAGAAGAUGGAAUUGGACUUAAGCAGCUUGAAGAACUUGUCUUGAAGGUUUAGACCAGAUAUAAGAUAACCCUAUUACUGUAUUUGAGAGAUCAUCUUGACACUUUUUUCCUUUUCUUCCAUGUUAGGACGGUUAUCAUGCUGUUCGCUUUAAUCCAUAUUUGUGGCCAGCUGGUCAAAAGCAGUUUCAACAGCAAUGCCAAACAGGCCAUAAAUUAUUAAGCAAUAGGGUUGGACCAGGUGUGAGAGCAAUCAAUAAAAAUUUUGUUCUUGGGUUUAGCUCAAACGGAGAAGUGGUGGCAUUGGUUACUCCAGAACUCAAGUAAUGAUCUUGUGAUUCAUGAUAAUAAACUGCUAAUAUGUGAUGUAAUAUUUUUUUCCUGUACUUUUCGUUAACUAAUUGGUCUUUAAUUUUUCUUCAUCUACAGUUAGUGCAAGGUAUAAUGAUAAGAGUCAAAUGUACAAUUAUGAUAAUUGAUAAUCUGUGCAGAUGACAAAUAAUGUUGGGAAAGCAUUGUUUUGGAAAGCAGGAGAACUUGGGAUACCAGUUGGUUUCAUGUGUUUUAAGGUAUUACUGUUCACACCUCCUUUCAACCCAAAAACCGAAAAAUGAAUUAAAAAACCGAGUCCUAUGAUGCUACAUUAGUUUUUUGUGGAAACUGUCUGGGAUGGCAUUACAAGAUGAAAUUUCCAGGGACUCAAUCUUCAUAUCGCAGAAAUUCUGGAACUUUGUACAGAAUUCCCUUCUACAGUUGUAUUGAUGGAUCAUUUGGGUUUCUGCAAACCACCAAGCAAUGAUGAAGAAAGUCUCGUCUUCUCUGAGCUUCUGAAGUUAUCCAGAUUCCCACAGGUAUGGUUUAAGUGCUUGUUUUAGCUAAAAUGCAAGCAUGAGUUGUCCCAAUACUGUCAGUUGCCAUUGGUGGAGGCCAAGGCUAUUGAGACUCCAAACUGAAUCUGGAUAAUGACAGACCUCAUGAAAAUAAGAGGAGCAACAACACAUUUUAAUGGUUAAAGCUCUAAGUUAGGCACUUUCUGUUUCAAGGAACCACCAUGUAGCUGCCAAGAUGAUUUAGAGCAUUAUAGAUUUGUUGGUUCAUAAGGUUGUCGAUUUCGAGCUUUUGACAACUGCUCACGUAUCAGGAAACCCUUUCUGUCUGUGUCCCUCUACCCAUUAAUGUCAAACAAUGAUGCCUUUCGUCCACCUAGAGUUCAGAUCUUCUAAUUGCCGCCACGCAUUUUUCAAAUGUAAUAUGAACCUUUGAAAUGGCAGGUAUAUAUUAAAUUCAGUGCCCUGUUCCGUGUGUCAAGAAUGUCAUACCCAUACCAAGACUUAUCGCCCCUUCUCUCGCAAGUUAUCUCUAGCUUCGGUGCAAACCGUGUCAUGUGGGGCAGUGAUUUCCCAUAUGUUAUUCCAGAAUGUGGUUAUGCUGGAGCAAAAGAAGCAGCGUCUUCAAUUGCCAGUCAAGUACCAUUAUCAUCUUCUGAGUUGGAGUGGAUCAUGGGUAAAACACUCAUGCAACUCUUCAAAGGUCAAUGGCUGCCAUGAGCAAAUAUCAUCGAACCUUGCAAAUCAUGAUAUUAAGUGUCCAUUUUUUUAUGGAAAUCAUGCAAGGAAUGUUAAUUUCACCCCUUAGAAUGGUCCUGUUUGAUUCGUAAUCUUUCAGAAGUUAUAAAAGUACGCAUGAAAAUAUUGUAUGGAAGUCCAUUCUGUUUCAGGGUCGGAGAGCUCAGGCAGUUUGCGAUGAAAGAACAGAAUACCACACUCGAACAUAUUAUUGAGAAAAAUAUGAAUCUGUUAAACUGAUUAUUUUCUAAUGUUAGGAUGUUGAUCUAUACAAAAUCCUGUUGCUCUAUCAUCGUCAUCAAUUAUCUCCGAGGCGGUGAAAAAAAGACGAGAAAAGAGGGAAAAAAGAAUUAUAAUCUAUAAAUGCUUCGGCAUUGAGUACCUUGAGCCUAUACAACUUGUAAAUGAGCAAUAUACAAAAGAAAAUACAGAACUCGACUGGUUAAUCAUCGAUUCUUUGAAUUUCACCCAUCAUGAUCCGAUUGCUUGUUACUUUAAAACCAAGGAGUGCAGGAUCAAUUUGCCUCCCUUUUUUACCUUUCUUUUUGCCACUUCGGCCCCCUUGUGUACCAUCUGAUGAUUCGGACCCCGCUCCUGUCAUGUGGACCUCUGGAGCAGUGGUCUUCUUGGCAUUACUUUUAAGCAUAUCUAUAAAUGAUGGCUCUGACACAUCAGCAUCCCCACAAGAUGAGGUUCUUCGGAAAGGCACAUCUUUCUUGCCGGAAGCCGUGCUGUCAAUACCAUGGCCCACUGGAUUUCCCCCUGAAGAUUUACAUUCAAAAUUAUUACUCAGGAAUGACCAUCAUACACACAAAUGAACAGCAGAAUUUUAGGGGCAGACCCUCUUCAGUUGUCCCAAUGACAGUUGCAAAGAUCAGCAUAUGUGAAGAAACAUAUUUAAGUGAAUGGUAAAAAGAUAAGAAGCAUACCCUCAACACCACUUGAACUUUUCGCCCUGACAACUGUAUCAGCAGCCAGCUCAGAUAACCCUUCUUGAGAUGAAGAAGCAUGAGAGACAGGUGGUCGCCUCAACAAUAUACUCUCUUGCCCUUUGAAGAGUACAGGCACCUGAUUCAAGUUAAUAUCUUCCGCAAAUGAAUUUUGUUGUCCAAUCUUGUCAUCAUAACAUCCUACAUUCCCACCAGCAAGUAUUUCAUAAAUUUAGAUAACUCUUGAAUACAUUAAAAAAAAAAUCAAGAGAAACUUACCAGGAACACCAAGAGAAGAAUGCCUGCCGAGAACAUUAACUGUAACCUCUCCAUGAUCUGUAGCAGUCAACCGUGCUUGAUCACCUAUGCCAUUGUGAAUCUCAGUAACUGAACUCUUUGCCAUACCCUGCAUUUUGGACCCAUACUUCCUCCCUUCUACGUCUAGGUACUCUCUAUUGAUAGACGACUUAUCAAUGAAGUUAGAAUCCGCGAGAACUGCCUGCGAAGUCUCACUAAUGCCUAACAAUGAUAAAUUUCCCCCACAUGUUGCUCCAGAUUCAGAUCUAAGCAGUAAUUUUUCUGUGUUUCCCAUAUUACUUGCCCGCUCACCAGCUGAAGAAACCUCUGCUAGUUGACAAGUAUUAGAACCAUAAGACCCUAUUGCAAGUGAGUUGUUUAGACUGGCUUCUUGGUCUGAAACAACAGCAAAAAGGUGAUCAGAAGAGCUUGAUCCAGAGUAAAUGCCUGAUGCUGACUUCUUCUCAAAAGACAUUCCAUCAUUCAUCUGUACCGAAUCUGAAGGUUGAUGACCUGAUUUCUGAUGUAGCAAUUCCAUGAACAAUCGCCUUGAUUUGUCAUCAUUCAAUCCAUCUGACAUCCACAAACUUGAAUCUUCAGCAGUCACUUUAAUGUCAGACUCCCUUUUACGCCGUUCAGCAUUGAUGUGCAAUUGUUGAAUUCGGGAUUCCAUCCAGUCGUUUACUAUUGGCCCAUUGCUUUCAGGCCAGCGGCCAUCAAUCGCAUCUAGACGUGAAACAUGGAAUUGGUUAGGAACCAUAGGGUGAUGACGAUCAUGUGGGUGAUUUCCAGAAGACAACGUUCCCACUUGGCCAGCAGAUUGCAUUCGUGUGCUCAACUCCUGCAUAUCUAAACCAUGAGCACAAGCCAUAGCAUUUACAACAUCCAUAUUCAUUCCUGAAGCACCAGCAGGCAAGGACAGGGACCUCUCAAACAGCAAUGAGCCCGGCUCAUAAAGCCCUUGCCGAAGUCGGUCUUGAAAUGAAAGAUUUUGCUCAAGGUGGCUCAACUGGUCCUCAUGUGGUGGCCUCUGCUGCUGCUGCUGCUGCU